UGGAGAGAGAGGGAGGCUAGUACCGAAGUGAAAGGACUGUUUUUUUCCGCCCACAGAUUAAUUACCUGAGCAGGAUACACUUUCACUUUUAUUUAAUAAAACUUUUUCCAAUUGAGUAGUAACAGUAGUUAGUAACAUUCUCAGACAAGCACAUAGUGUAUGAAGUGUUUGGCUCUAGUUGGACCAUUUAUGCGUUACACUAUUGUGUUGUGGCUGCUCUAAUAUGUUUAAUGUGUUCUUUGUUUUGUGCAAAGUGGAGAAUGUUGUAUGUGGACAUUGGACUGGAAGCUGUGGACUUAAAUACGGUUGUGUUUGUGUCAUGUAAUUCUGUGUGAGAUGGGCAACUUAGUGGCAUGACACGUAAAUAAAAAUAUCAGUCAAUCAAUCAACAAAUUAUAGGAAACACUCAACAAUUUU